rnacentral:rRNA from 1 species
AUUGAACGCUAGCGGGAUGCCUUACACAUGCAAGUCGAACGGAGUGGCGAACGGGCGAGUAAUGUAUCGGUCCGUGCCCAGCAGCGGGGGGUAACUACACGAAAGCGUAGCUAAUCUCGCAUACUCUUGGAGCGGUCGAUAUGGGCUUAGCUAGUUGGUGGGGUAAAGGAUGACCAAGGCGACGAUCCGUAGCUGGUUUGAGAGGACGACCAGCCACACUGGGACUGGGACACGGCCCAGACUCCUACGGGAGGAAGCAGUGGGGAAUUGUGGACAAUGGGAGAAAGCCUGAUGCAGCCAUGCCGCGUGUGCGAUGAAGGCCUUCGGGUUGUAAAGCACUUUUAGCAGGGAGGCGGUACCGGCAGAAGAAGCACCGGCUAACUACGUGCCAGCAGCCGCGGUAAUAC